rnacentral:rRNA from 1 species
GGGGGGGGGGGGGGGGGGGGGGGGGGGGGGGGGGGCGGGGGGGGGGGGGGGGCGUGGGGGGGGGGGUCGGGGGGCGGACGGGGGAGGAACACGUGAGUAGCCUGCCCUUGACGUUGGGAUAACUUCAGGAAACUGGGGCUAAUACCGGAUAGGAGCUCCUGCUGCAUGGUGGGGGUUGGCAAGUUUCGGCGGGUGGGGAUGGACUCGCGGCUUAUCAGCUUGUUGGUGGGGUAGUGGCUUACCAAGGCUUUGACGGGUAGCCGGCCUGAGAGGGUGACCGGUCACAUUGGGACUGAGAUACGGCCCAGACUCCUACGGGAGGCAGCAGUGGGGAAUAUUGCACAAUGGGCGGAAGCCUGAUGCAGCAACGCCGCGUGCGGGAUGACGGCCUUCGGGUUGUAAACCGCUUUCGCCUGUGACGAAGCGUGAGUGACGGUAAUGGGUAAAGAAGCACCGGCUAACUACGUG